CUUAAGAGAACAAGUGAGUGAAUGAAUGAAUGAAUGAAUGAAGAGAAUGAAUACCUAAGAAAAUAAAUCCUUAAGAAAAUGAAUGAAUGACCCACUUCAGCAAGGCUCUUAGCAGCGUUCCUCUGGGCCCUUCCGCUAAUCUCCAUUCCUGACCUCUGGUUCUCCCUUUUUUCUUUCCCUUUAUAGAAAAGCUUGAUGAGUUUUGUUGGAAUACUGAUUCUCUUUGAACAUCCCUCAAAAUCCCCUAUUCUCGGCAUGGAACAGGGUCCAAACCACAGACCUUACUCUUGAAGGACCUCUACGUCCAGCAUUGAUCUGAGUCCAGCAAGGUCCCCCUGGAUGUGACCUCCACUCCAGUGGAAGGAAUUCCCAACUAGAGUAAGAAAAUACUCCUUGAAGAGUCAGGUACGUCUGGAUUAAAAUCCUACCUCCACUAUUUACUGCA